rnacentral:lncRNA from 1 species
AUCUGAAAGUUCUGGGAGGGCUUCUGGGGUACAGUGGGGAGGGUGGCAGAUGCCGCCUGCACCACCCGCAGAGCCUGCUGGGGGAUCUGUACCACCUGCUGCUGCUCGGCCUUGGGGGGCACCACCUGGACCUGCUGGACCACAGCUGGCUGGCCCCCACCAGGGCUCUGAACAAUGAGCAAAAAAAAAAAGGUGAAGUGGAAACUGAAGCCCUGGAUAGGUGAUGAGCUGGUAAGAAAGCACACCAGUGCCUUAAAUGGUUACCAGGCCUGAAGUCCACACAAACUAUACUCCAGAGGAGGGGAGACUUUGCAGACACACCUGCAAAUGUGUAUGGAGCUGGAGGGCAGCUCUGGGCAAAAUUAUAUAUGCAGAUCCCGUAAUAUUACAGGCACUGAUUCUUGGCAAAAUCCUAGGACAAAUGAUUGAAUAGUACUGUUAACUACUGAGGAAAGGAAGGAGUGACCACAAGGAAUAGCAUUAUAAUAUAGAAGAACAGGUCAUGCUGAACAAAUCUGUUUCUUUUUUGUAGGGUUUUGGAUGGAUACAUCAAGAGCAUGGUAUACACCAGGUAUUUUAUUUCAACAGGCAUCUGGCUGACAUUUUCAUAAUAUUCUUGUGAACAAACAAGGAGGAAACUUGGGCAAUAUGAUAGUCUAGUUUGUCUGGGGCUAAGCUGAGCAUGCCUCCACCUAAGUGCUGAGAAGUCUGCUGCUGCAAAGUGUCUCGAACUGGGGUGGGUCUCAGGACCAGGGUUCACAGGCAUCUCCGCAGAGGCCUUUUUAUUCUUUUCUUGUGUGUUUUCACUGUGAUUUUUUUUUUUUUUUUUGAGACGGAGUCUCGCUCUGUCGCCCAGGUUGGAGUGCGGUGACACGAUCUCUGCUCACUGCAAGCUCCGCCUCCCGGGUUCACGCCAUUCUCCUGCCUCAGCCUCCCAAGUAGUGGGACUACAGAUGCCCGCCACCACGCCCGGCUAAUUUUUUGUAUUUUUAGUAAGAGAGGGGGUUUCAUGUUAGCCAGAAUGGUCUCGAGCUCCUGACCUCGUGAUCCGCCUGCCUUGGCCUCCCAAAGUGCUGGGAUUACAGGCGUGAGCCACUGUGCCCGGCCAAUCUUUUUUUUUUUUUUUUGAGAUGUAGUCUCACUCUGUUGCCCAGGCUGGGGUGCAUGAUCUUGGUUCACUGCAACCUCUGCCUCCCAAGUAGCUGGGAUUACAGGCACCCACCACUACAUCCGGCUAAUUUUUUUUGUAUUUUUAGUAGAGACGGGGUUUUGCCUUGUUAACCAGGCUGGUCUCAAACUCCUGACCUCAAGUGAUCCACCCACCUUGGCCUCCCAAAGCGCUGGGAUUACAGGCAUGAAUCACCAUGACCAGCCAAAACAAAGAUUUAUUUGUUUGUUUAUUUAUUUAGAAACAAGGUCUUGCUCUAUCACC